rnacentral:rRNA from 1 species
UACGGAGGGGGCUAGCGUUGUUCGGAAUUACUGGGCGUAAAGCGCACGUAGGCGGCUAUUCAAGUCAGAGGUGAAAGCCUGGAGCUCAACUCCAGAACUGCCUUUGAAACUAGAUAGCUAGAAUCAUGGAGAGGUGAGUGGAAUUCCGAGUGUAGAGGUGAAAUUCGUAGAUAUUCGGAAGAACACCAGUGGCGAAGGCGGCUCACUGGACAUGUAUUGACGCUGAGGUGCGAAAGCGUGGGGAGCGAUCCGG